UUUCCUCAGUCUGGGAGCUGUAUGGCGUUGGUGGAGCACACCAUACUUGCAGAAAGAGCAUCUUCCUGAGGAAACAGGCACAACUGACCGAAUCCCAACAAUACCUGUGAAAUUUUCCACCCACUGCUCUUGGACAUUGGUGGCAUGACUGGGCAGUGUAUCGUAGUGUCAUUAUCUAUCAGUAACAGUAAGAGAAACUGUGCGGUCAGCAUACUGUUCAACAGAUGGAGUACUUUCUAUUGGACAAUAAGUAAAGCUAAAAAU